GAUGAACGCUAGCGGCAGGCCCAAUACAUGCAAGUCGAACGGUGUCUUCGGACAUAGUGGCGCACGGGUGCGUAACACGUAUGCAACCUACCUUACAUUGGGGGAUAGCCUUUCGAAAGGGAGAUUAAUACCGCAUAAGACAGUAGCUGGGCAUCCAGCAGCUGUUAAAGAUUUAUCGAUGUAAGCUGGGCAUGCGUCCAAUUAGCUAGUUGGUGAGGUAACGGCUCACCAAGGCAAUGAUUGGUAGGGGAACUGAGAGGUCAAUCCCCCACACUGGCACUGAGAUACGGGCCAGACUCCUACGGGAGGCAGCAGUAGGGAAUAUUGGGCAAUGGACGCAAGUCUGACCCAGCCAUGCCGCGUGCAGGAUGAAGGCGUUAUGCGUUGUAAGCUGCUUUUAUACAGGAAGAAACGACUCUUGCGAGAGGCAUUGACGGUACUGUAUGAAUAAGCACCGGCUAACUCCGUGCCAGCAGCCGCAGUAAAAC
rnacentral:rRNA from 1 species